UCACUCUGUCACCCAGGCUGGAGUGCAGAGGCACAAUCUUGGCUCACUCCAACACUUCCCGGGUUCAAGAGAUUCUCCUGCCUCAGCCUCCCGUGUAGCUGGGGUUACAGGCACACGCCACCAUGUCUGACUAAUUUUUGUAUUUUUAGUAGAAACGGGGUUUCACCAUGUUGGCCAGGCUGGUCUCGAACUCCUGACCUCAAGUGAUCUGUCUGCCUCGGCCUCCCAGAGUGCUGGGAUUACAGGUGUGAGCCACUGCAUCUGGCCCAGGCUUCUUUUUAAAUCAAGUUUUAAUUUUUUUCAUAAUCUAGUUUAUAUUUUAAAAACAUGACUUUGAUCUAAACAAGUUCUUUUACAUUUUUUUACAAAGUAAAGAGGAUCUCCUGCCUCAUGGCUGCUACUUCUUUCCAGUAAAAAUUAGUCCCUGCGACCUCAAUUAAAAUAAAAUUACCAUAAAGAUCUACGUUGGGCACAGCUAUGUCGUCAAAGCCCUGCUCUGGGUUAAGUGACGAAACACUCGUGAUGCUACUACAUCAGUGACAAAUCCUCAGAAACCACCAGGGAGGGAGGGAUGCUGUACGGACUGCGCAGUAUCCCCCAAAUUCCUCUGCAGAGGCUCACACCCCAAGGUGACUGUCGCUGGAGAUAAGGUCUUUAAGGAGGCAAUCAUGGUAAUAUGGCAGCUUAAGGGUGGGACCCUCAUCCAACAAGACUGGUGUCCUCCUGAGAACGGAAAAACACUGAAGACCACACACACGGAAAAGACCAGGUGAGGCACAGAAUGGGAAGAAGCCAAACCUGCCAGUGCCUUGAUCAUGGACUCUCAACCUCCAGAACUGUGAGAAAAUACGUUUGGGCCUCCCAGUCUGUGGUAUUUUGUCGUGGCAGCCCGAGCUGACUAACGUAGGCGCCAAGCCCCUCCAGAGCCACGUGGCACCCGUGGCUGAUCAGCCUGCCAUGCUGGCAGAUCUACCCUGUAGGGCCAAAAAUGCUUCUACCUGCAACUGCCCAUCAAUAACAUCUGCAUGGCUGUUUGCAGAGGGCAACCAAAGAAGAAAGUUCAGUCCCACUGCACCAACCCAGCUGAUGGAACAGAGUCCCACAUGGCACUCUCCUAAACUGGGCAGCGACGCCACUUACUUCCAGAAUACAGGGAAGAUUCUGAAGCCUGCCGGGGAGCUGAGUGGACCCGCAUGCACUCACUCAUCCACUCCACAGGCAUUUGUCCCAGGGUCUCCAGGUAUGAUGGGAAGCCAGGGUGCACAGGGCCAGAGGCGACAAACACAUUCCUGCCGGGUCCCAGAGAACGGAGGCUGGCCAGGAAUACGGGCGGCAUGAACUACGCUCAGGCUGCAGGUGCCAAGCACUUACACUUGUUUCCUUUGGAGUAAAGCUAGAGGAAACAGAGGCUCCAAAUUCAAAAGGCUUUCCUGAAAGCACACAGCUAGAAAGAAGCUGCACCAGACUUCACUUGAGGACUCUUCUUAGACAUGACAUAUACUGCCUCUCAACAAGCAGCUGUACUGUGGAGGAGAAAGUAGAAAAGUGCCACAAGAGAUUUAAAAAAAAUAAUAAUAAUGCUCCUGGGCCUGAGACAGGGAAGGAGUACAGCAUUUCUGUUUUAUUUCUGGGGGCUGGGGAGCAGAGCAGAACAUUCAGGAAAGACAUUCAUUCUGCAAGCAUUUACUGGGGAUAUACUAUUCGCCAGGCAUGCAUGUAAAAGAGGAGCCACGUGCCCAGAGGGAUGGGAAGACAGCACGUUCCAACCAUGAAGUCGGGGAGCAGAAGGAAGCACAGGUGAGGGAGAGUCCAUGGGAACUGGCGGGCCAGCAGCAGCAGCAGCAGCAGCAGCAGCAGCAGCAGCAGAGGAGCCCAUGCGGCAGGAACAGGAGCCCAUACCUGAGCACUGAGGCACCCAGCCACCUGUCACGAUACUCGGAGGACUGGGCUACAGAGGCCGCACACCCCAGCAACCAACUUCUCCCCGCUCCUAGCAGGCCCUUAAGUCGCUGUUGCUGAGCUCCCCUCACCCCCUUAAAUAUCUCUUUCCCACCAAGAUGCAAAAGGCAACACCAUCCUCUAGCAUUUGCCCAGCUCUGUGCGUGUUUAAUUUCCUUACUAUUUGCAAGAAGUCAUUCAAAAUGUUGACAGCAUCUUAACAGUUUGCACAUGAUAUAUCUGCACAUCUUACAGGUUAGCAUCCGUGUCAAAAGUCACCAAUGAACACAUUACAAUCUCUCCAUUUCCAUUCUCUUUUAAAGGCUGCAGAAUGUCUGGUUCAACACUAAGCAGACUUUUUUCCGCAAAAUUACAAGGAAACACUGAACAAGGGCAGAUGCACAAAAUGAUACCCAUGACGCCUGACAAACAACUCCGUGUUGACAGAACAGCUCGAGGCCCUUCCCCAUUCCAGUGGAUCAGCGCUGUUAUUGCCAGCUCAGUAUCUACGCCCCUGUCUUUCAGAGAACCUUUUCAGUGUUCCUUUGAGGACCUGCCCUGCUCUUCUCUCUGCUGCCACUCUGAUGAGGCUGUCCAUGAAAGGCCUCCCCUGGCCAAGAAGUGGCAGAAUCUGGGCCAAUAAACCACUCUCCAGGCAACCCAAGCAGUGCCCUAAAUACACAGGCAGCCUGUGCCUGUCCCCUGGGCCCAUGGUUCAGUCCAUCCCAACGCCUCUAUGCUCAAAGCCACCCCCACAUCCUUCGAAUAAAAUCCAUGUCUGCUUGAGUCAGCCAGAAUGGGAUUCUCAUGUUUCCAACCAAGGACCCAAAGAGUCAACUUACCACAGUGCCCAGCUUGAAGGGUAAACAAGUUCUGACAGUUCUAAAAGGCAAAGACCAUCUGCUUAAGGCAAACAUUACCUAAAUUUAAGGACUUUUUUAAUGCCCUAAAUUCUGAUGGCAACUCCCAAAGAAAAGAUUCCCAAAAUGGUGGCCAUGGCAACCUCAAUGGCCUGAGUAUACAAGCUCCCCAACUGACCAAUACGGCUGCAGGCCCCUUCUCUGGGACAUGAGUCAUUGAACAUCUGAUCUAAACACCAGGUAUGUUCCUUGUUGCUACACAGACUGUGCCCUACAAGCCAGAGUCCAUCCCGCCUCCCUCAUGCAGUUAAGCUCCAUGGAGCUCUCACCACGUGUCCAGUCCUGGAUGAGACACCGGGGUUUGGUUCCUGAGCACCUUGAGCCCAUGCUGGGGAGAGACGUGCAGCCCACGUCACAGCAAAGUGCACAGGCCACCAGGUGGCAGGCCCUGGAAUCGCCAGCAGGAGCCAUCGGAAUGGCCUUGGGGAAGCAGGACUCCUGAGCUGGGUUGUGAAGGCAUCAGGUGGGUUAAAAGAGGCUUGCCAAGGGGCAGGACUCAGGUGAUCCAAACCCCCAGGCAGGGCCCCAGACAGAGGAAGUGGCCUGCCAGGAACUGUGAGCCUGGCUGACGGUAUCCUCCACAGCGAAGGUGCCACAGGUGGGGUGAGACCAGGCUGGAGAGCAGGCAGGGCCACGGCAAAGGGCCUGGGAGCCCAGCGAGGCAACUCCAUUUCCAUUUCUUUACUUCCUCCAUGACUCCUUCUAAAAAGGCUUAAGGGUGAGGCCAAGGAAUUUCAACUUCAUUCUAAAAGCCCUAGUGAGCUAUUUAAAGGCUUAAGCAGGUUGAGGUCUGGGUAAAUUUAUAUUUUGGGAUCUAUUUAUGGGUUAACCCAGCUGUCAAACAUGAAUUGCCACAUCAACAUUCUCUGAGAGGAGGUAUGUGUGUGUGUGUGUGUGUGUGCGCGCGCGCACGCGCAUGCACUGGCACACACCAAGGUGAGACUCGGGGAAAUCGCCUGUGCUCAGUCACGUAAAUACAGAUACAUGUGUUCUGUACACAUAAACACCCACAGGAAAGAUACAGGGGAACGCACAACCUCAUCACAAAGCAUCUCAACAGGAGCCUGGGAGUUAUCAAACUGUUAAAACUUGAAAAGCUACAAAAUCGCCCUUUAUUUGGAAGAGCUCAAUCAUUCUCGGGAGGGUUCAGCGUGGGGGUGCUGUGUGUUGUUGGGUCUUCAGAUUUUUUAACUAAGAAAGGACUCCAACCUCAUGGACAUCAUAACGGCAAACCAGUUUCAAUGCUUCUAGACCCCAUCAAGCACAGCUGGGUGGUCCUCUAUCUGCCAGCCAGAAAUGCACCCAAUGGAACAGUCCAGGCUCC